rnacentral:rRNA from 1 species
UGCGGAGGGAUCAUUACACAAAUAUGAAGGCGGGCUGGAAUCUCUCGGGGUUACAGCCUUGCUGAAUUAUUCACCCUUGUCUUUUGCGUACUUCUUGUUUCCUUGGUGGGUUCGCCCACCACUAGGACAAACAUAAACCUUUUGUAAUUGCAAUCAGCGUCAGUAACAAAUUAAUAAUUACAACUUUCAACAACGGAUCUCUUGGUUCUGGCAUCGAUGAAGAACGCAGCGAAAUGCGAUAAGUAGUGUGAAUUGCAGAAUUCAGUGAAUCAUCGAAUCUUUGAACGCACAUUGCGCCCUUUGGUAUUCCAAAGGGCAUGCCUGUUCGAGCGUCAUUUGUACCCUCAAGCUUUGCUUGGUGUUGGGCGUCUUGUCUCUAGCUUUGCUGGAGACUCGCCUUAAAGUAAUUGGCAGCCGGCCUACUGGUUUCGGAGCGCAGCACAAGUCGCACUCUCUAUCAGCAAAGGUCUAGCAUCCAUUAAGCCUUUUUUUCAACUUUUGACCUCGGAUCAGGUAGGGAUACCCGCUGAACUUAAGCAUAUC